rnacentral:rRNA from 1 species
UACGUAGGGAGCAAGCGUUGUCCGGAAUCAUUGGGCGUAAAGCGCGCGUAGGUGGCUUCGUAAGUCCGUUGUGAAAGUCAAAGGCUCAACCUUUGAAAGCCGAUGGAUACUGCGGAGCUAGAGUACGGAAGAGGCGAGUGGAAUUCCUGGUGUAGCGGUGGAAUGCGCAGAUAUCAGGAGGAACACCGGUGGCGAAGGCGGUCUCUGGGCCUUACCUGACACUGAGGAGCGAAAGCGUGGGGAGCGAACAGG